rnacentral:rRNA from 1 species
UACGUAGGGUGCAAGCGUUACUCGGAAUUACUGGGCGUAAAGCGUGCGCAGGCGGCUUUGCAAGACAGAUGUGAAAUCCCCGGGCUUAACCUGGGAACUGCAUUUGUGACUGCAUGGCUGGAGUGCGGCAGAGGGGGAUGGAAUUCCGCGUGUAGCAGUGAAAUGCGUAGAUAUGCGGAGGAACACCGAUGGCGAAGGCAAUCCCCUGGGCCUGCACUGACGCUCAUGCACGAAAGUGUGGGGAGCAAACAGG